rnacentral:rRNA from 1 species
CAGCAGCCGCGGUAACACGAGGGGGGCAAGCGUUGUUCGGAAUUAUUGGGCGUAAAGGGUGCGUAGGCGGGUUUUUAAGUCAGAGGUGAAAUCCUGGAGCUCAACUCCAGAACUGCCUUUGAUACUGAAGGUCUUGAGUAUGGGAGAGGUGAGUGGAACUGCGAGUGUAGAGGUGAAAUUCGUAGAUAUUCGCAAGAACACCAGUGGCGAAGGCGGCUCACUGGCCCAUAACUGACGCUGAGGCACGAAAGCGUGGGGAGCAAACAGGAUUAGAGACCCCAGUAGUCCCUGUCUCUUAUAC